rnacentral:rRNA from 1 species
UACGUAGGGUGCGAGCGUUAAUCGGAAUUACUGGGCGUAAAGCGUGCGCAGGCGGUUAUAUAAGACAGAUGUGAAAUCCCCGGGCUCAACCUGGGCACUGCAUUUGUGACUGUAUAGCUAGAGUACGGUAGAGGGGGAUGGAAUUCCGCGUGUAGCAGUGAAAUGCGUAGAUAUGCGGAGGAACACCGAUGGCGAAGGCAAUCCCCUGGACCUGUACUGACGCUCAUGCACGAAAGCGUGGGGAGCAAACAGG